rnacentral:rRNA from 1 species
CGUGUAGGCGGCUUGGUCAGUCCGGCGUGAAACCUCGGGGCUCAACCCCGAGCCUGCGUUGGAUACUGCCUCGCUCGAGUCCGGGAGGGGAGAGCGGAAUUCCCAGUGUAGCGGUGAAAUGCGCAGAUAUUGGGAAGAACACCGGUGGCGAAGGCGGCUCUCUGGAACGGUACUGACGCUGAGACGCGAAAGCGUGGGGAGCAAACAGGAUUAGAUACCCUGGUAGUCCACGCCGUAAACGAUGGGCACUAGAUGUGGGCGGUGUCGACUCCGUCCGUGUCGCAGCUAACGCAUUAAGUGCCCCGCCUGGGGAGUACGGCCGCAAGGCUAAA